CCAAUGGUGUAGAUUGCAACUCAUCCAUCCUGGGAGACGCUUGUCCACUUUCUCCCAAAAUUUCACCCCAGGCAAUCCACCCAAUGUGGGGGGGCUUCCUUGCUUUCUCCUCAUAGCCAAGGGUACCAUUGAACACUCUGGCUGUCCAUUUAUCAUCUUUCUGUCUUGCCACAGGGCCAGUCUAUCUUCUCUUCCCAUUAUGCAAUUCCUUUAGUGACAUUCUCAUCUCCUAUUCUUUGGGUGAGGUAGCCAGUUCUGUGCAGUGGAUAGAGAGCUGGCUCUAGAUUCAAGAAAGUCUGAGUUCAAAUCUCAAAUCCUUACUACCUGUGUGACCCUUGGCAAGUCAUUUGACUACUGUCUACCUCAGUUUCCUUCCCUGAAAAAUGGGGAUAAUAAUACCAACUGCCUCCCAGGAUAGUUGUGAAGAUUAAAUGAGAUAGUAUUUGUAAAGAGCACAGUACCUGGCACACAGUAGAAGCUUAAGAAAUGCUUAUUCCCCUUCCUACUCCAGAUGUUGAAGCCCGUUCACUCCCACCAUAGACUUCUCCAUUCAACUCUGUGUGAUACUCAUCUCUAGUUCUUCAGAGGCAGUGGUGUUCCAUAUCUUGCUGUCAUAUAACACCACUGAUAUACAAGCUGAUGGAAAGCUCAACAAGGCAUCCAUCCAAAUGCAAGUUGAAAUCUGGGCAACAGACAUACUUCAUCCACUUGGUCUUUCUUGUGUGGAUGGGCACAUUGUAAGUGUAUCCUGGGAAUCCCACAAAUGGAAGAGUCCAAAGAAACUCACCAUCCAUAAACAAUGCCUGCAUUUUGCACUGGUUCUCCUCCAUCACAGUGGGCAAAAGCAUUGAAGAACCCACUGUUUCAUGCCUAUUUCUGUUGCUACAUCUUCUAAGGAAUCUUGUCUUAUCUUGGAAGUCUAACAGAUGGGAGCCACUUUAUCGCCAAAAAGCCUGUUGGAAUAUAAGCCCCCUGAGGGUAAAGACUAUUUCCAGGAUGCAGUGGAUGAUCUUGUGGUCUUCCAUGUCUAAGCAAGCUCAGAAGUGCUCCACAGCACCUGCUUCAGUCAGAAGAAAGAUACAACCGAAACGCCGUGCCCUGAAAAAUCCUGCUCGUUGUUUGGACCCUGAAACACAUGGCUCCUUCUGGCUAGGAUAACAAGACCUUUUCUUUGAAGGCUGCAUGGAUCACAGAAGCAAGAGCGGCACUCGGAGCAACCCCUUCAAAGAAAAAGAGGGCAGAGGAACCCCCACUCAGAGGCUGUGUUCUCAGUGGGGACCUUCAUUGCUUGGAUUGAAGAAUAUUCUCAUCAAAACCGUAGAGUAGAAAGAGGAAAGACUCGAGAACUAUAAACCUGAGUUCAAAUCCCAACUCUGAAGCAGACUAAUUGAGUGCAAGUUAUUUAAUCUUCUGGGCUUCUGUUUUCUCAUCUGAAAAAGGAGAGGGGUGAGGGCAGCUAGGUAGCACAGUGGAUGUGCUCCAGGCUGGAGUUGUGAGUGGGGGGACCUGAGUUCAAAUAGGACCUCAGACAUUUCCUAGCUAUGAGACCCUGGGGAAAUGACUUAUCCCUCAUUGCCUAGCUCUUGCUUCUCUUCUGUCUUAGAAUUGAUACUAAAACAGAAGAAAAGGAGGGGAUUAGAAAAGAUGAGUCCUGAGGUCCCUUCCAGCUCUCCAUCUACCAGGAUUCUGUUUUUCCUAGCUUGGUACUGAAUUCUAAAAGGCAAGAUCUAUCUCUCUAUGCAGCUGCUAUUCCCACAGUGGCACAAAGCAAUAAUAAUAAUAACAUAGUAUUUUAUGUGCAUGUGUUAUAUAUGCAUGUAUAUAUGUAACCUAUGUGCAUAUAUGUACACACACCUAUGUGAAAGGCUACGAUCCAUACUGCUUGGAAGGCCAGGUAGGUUAGAUUUCUACCUUUCCCCUGAGGUUCUCUGGUACCCUUAAGGGGACUAAGUUCUCUCCAAUGGCUCCUGCUCCACCAGUGGGGCUCCCACAAUUAGGAGUGCCUCCCUGUACCAUAAUUCCAUUUGGUCACUAACAAUCAGAUUCAAUUUUACACAAAACUAUUUAUUUCAGAAGCUAUAAUCACAAAUACACAAAUAUACAAACUUAUUUUCCCAACAUAUUGGAGGCAUAAUCCUCCUUCUUCAUCAGCACCUUA
ensembl:lncRNA